AAUAAGGAUGCAUCAAAAUUCGUCGACGUUCAAAUCGUCGACUUGUAUCGUUUUUAUCGACUAUCGUUCAUUUCCCACUAGUUGCAUUGGUAUUAGUGACAACCUGGAUUUUGAUAAUCCAAAACAAAACGAUCAUCCGGGUGGUUCUCGCAGUACCUACUGUUUAUCCGAAACUUUUGCCGAGAAUUAUUAAUUUACGCGUUUUAUUUUUCUUUGGAGUGUCACUAGUUUUAAUACAAAUUAAAUUUUUAUACAAAUUGCCUGUGAGGAUAAUAACAAAUCCGAAGACGAGAUGGUGAUGCCGUACAAAUCGGCAUCCGGAGAGUCCGGAAGGUGCUUUCAAGAAUCCAGAUUGUACCACACAUCGGUUAGCUGGCUGGAAUGGGGAUCGUGGCUUUGAUAUCGAGCUGGAUGACGAUAUUGCCGCUUGGUGUGAGAACUUCCACGAUAAUUAUAAGACAAUCUAGGAAUCGCGGAUUUCCUAGCGACUGCGGAUGUUCUAUACGAACACGCGAAAUCCAUAUAAGUGCAACUGAAGCUGUGUGCUAACUGUCCGGACCAUAAUUCACCGCAGAGCAAUUAGCUGGCGUACACGGAGCUGGAUGAGACGCCGCGUAAUGUUCUGCAUAAUUGUGGACUACGGUGCCGCGAGAUGAUCACCCCGAAAGUACAAAGUACGGAAGAUAAUUGCUCGACAGCACAGAAGCUGGCUAGAUUCCGUUAGAUCUGGACCUGUUAGAUGGAUUCGAUGAGCAUACUUUGUGAUGCCACUGUUUAUUCAAGAUAAGAUGUCGAUUGCUGAAGACCGCCUGAAUAGGGCCGACUGUGGGACACUGUUUCGGAAACGGAACGAGAACUGCAGCUGGAACUGGUGUGUUUGUUUGAACUUUAAGGAUCAACUAGAGGCUAUCAGAUAGGCCUCCCAUUAUCAGAUCAAACGGAACGAUCUUCCCCUACUUGUGCAAGAUUACUGAGAAACCAAGUAGUUGCGGCAAGAUAUCGAGGGCGAACAAUGGGAUGUUCCCGAGAAUGAACCCGCGCAUACGCUCCGGCUGGAUGAAUUCCAGGUUCAUCUGGUGGACUCGAAGGACAUACUUCUCGCCAUGUUAUCGGAACUCAGGCGGCAGUCGGUUAUUACCGACCUUAAUCGGUGCAAACAAGAUUCCCCACAUUCAGCUGGCCAAGUGGGACGAUGUGUAAAUGAUCUGGCCAUCCAGCUGGAGCCGUCGGAUUGGACCUUGACGAAGAAAGUGUUCAACCAAGAUUUUCUAAGCUGUCGUUUGCUCCUUCUACCAUAUUUUAAAAGGCACUGCCGUCUUCCAAUGUGAUUUAUAGGAUUUAUAGCACCUCGAAGGCAUCGGUCAUAUCCUAGGAAUUAUGCUUAAACGGGGGACCGUGUAGAAAAACUGGAAAAUCUGAAAAUAUUGAAAAUGUUCUCACCUUUGAAUAUCCGAAGAUUGUUUCAGAGAGUUCAAGCAGAAAGGGAGGUGGUAAUGUAGCAUGGGUGGAUUCUAGGGAUUAGUGUAGAGGUGGCAAGGGAAGGUUGAAGGGUUUGGAGGAGGGGAAUCCAUACUGGUUUUAAGGAGGGUUUCAGAGAAUUUUUAGAGGUUCUUCUUCUUUAUGGCUCUACGUCUCCACUGGGACUUGGCCUGCCUCGCUUCAACUUAGUGUUUUUUAGCACUUCCACAGUUAUUUUUAGAGGUGUCAAGGACGGUUUAAACUUUAGACGGACAAAUCAAAAGAUCAAGGACACUGUCAUAAAGUGUUCAAGAGGAUAUAAGGCGUUGUUUGGGUGGGACAUAAGGCUUAGGGGUGUAGGGGUGUUCCAGGACAUUUUCAGCAGAUCUACAUACGUUAUCAAUGGGGUUUUGUUACCAUUCUUCUGAUGUGCAACAUUCUAUAGGUCUAUGAAUUAUAGAGUUAUGUCCAUAAAUGUAGAAGGUCCUCCACAAGCUCUCGCGAAUAUAGGCAUCAUGAUACAUGCAUAUACAUACAUACAUUUA